AAGUAAAAGUCGUAACAAGGUCUCCGUAGGUGAACCUGCGGAGGGAUCAUUACACAAAUAUGAAGGCGGGCUGGAACCUCUCGGGGUUACAGCCUUGCUGAAUUAUUCACCCUUGUCUUUUGCGUACUUCUUGUUUCCUUGGUGGGUUCGCCCACCACUAGGACAAACAUAAACCUUUUGUAAUUGCAAUCAGCGUCAGUAACAAAUUAAUAAUUACAACUUUCAACAACGGAUCUCUUGGUUCUGGCAUCGAUGAAGAACGCAGCGAAAUGCGAUAAGUAGUGUGAAUUGCAGAAUUCAGUGAAUCAUCGAAUCUUUGAACGCACAUUGCGCCCUUUGGUAUUCCAAAGGGCAUGCCUGUUCGAGCGUCAUUUGUACCCUCAAGCUUUGCUUGGUGUUGGGCGUCUUGUCUCUAGCUUUGCUGGAGACUCGCCUUAAAGUAAUUGGCAGCCGGCCUACUGGUUUCGGAGCGCAGCACAAGUCGCACUCUCUAUCAGCAAAGGUCUAGCAUCCAUUAAGCCUUUUUUUCAACUUUUGACCUCGGAUCAGGUAGGGAUACCCGCUGAACUUAAGCAUAUCA
rnacentral:rRNA from 2 species